rnacentral:rRNA from 1 species
UUCCGCUUGAUCCUGCCGGACCCGACUGCUAUCAGAGUGGGACUAAGCCAUGCGAGUCAACAUAGCAAUAUGUGGCAUACGGCUCAGUAACACGUAGUCAACAUGCCCAGGGGACGUGGAUAACCUCGGGAAACUGAGGAUAAACCGCGAUAAGUCACCACUUCUGGAAUGGGUAAUGACUCAAAUCUAUAUGGCCCCUGGAUUGGACUGCGGCCGAUCAGGCUGUUGGUGAGGUAAUGGCCCACCAAACCUGUAACCGGUACGGGCUCUGAGAGGAGGAGCCCGGAGAUGGGCACUGAGACAAGGGCCCAGGCCCUAUGGGGCGCAGCAGGCGCGAAACCUCUGCAAUAGGCGAAAGCUUGACAGGGUUACUCUGAGUGGUUUCCGCUAAGGGAACCUUUUGGCACCUCUACAAAUGGCGCAGAAUAAGGGGUGGGCAAGUCUGGUGUCAGCCGCCGCGGUAAUACCAGCACCCCGAGUGGUCGGGACGAUUAUUGGGCCUAAAGCAUCCGUAGCCGGUCCUGCAAGUCUUCCGUUAAAUCCAGCUGCUCAACAGAUGGGCUGCGGGGGAUACUACAUGGCUAGGAGGCGGGAGAGGCAAGCGGUACUUUAUGGGUAGGGGUAAAAUCCGUUGAUCCAUAGAAGACCACCAGUGGCGAAGGCGGCUUGCCAGAACGCGCUCGACGGUGAGGGAUGAAAGCUGGGGGAGCAAACCGGAUUAGAUACCCGGGGUAGUCCCAGCUGUAAACGAUGCAGACUCGGUGGAUGGGGUUGGCUUCGUGCCAACCCAGUGCCGCAGGGAAGCCGUUAAGUCUGCCGCCUGGGGAGUACGG